rnacentral:rRNA from 1 species
AGUGAACGCUGGCGGUAGGCCUAACACAUGCAAGUCGAACGGCAGCACAGUAAGAGCUUGCUCUUACGGGUGGCGAGUGGCGGACGGGUGAGGAAUACAUCGGAAUCUACUUUUUCGUGGGGGAUCUCGUAUGCCGUCUUCCGCUUGUAAAAAAAACGACCUACGGGUGAAAGCAGGGGAUCUUCGGACCUUGCGCGAUUGAAUGAGCCGAUGUCGGAUUAGCUAGUUGGCGGGGUAAAGGCCCACCAAGGCGACGAUCCGUAGCUGGUCUGAGAGGAUGAUCAGCAACACUGGAACUGAGAAACGGUCCAGACUAAGACGGGAGGCAGCAGUGGGGAAUAUUGGAAAAGGGGGGCAAGCCUGAUCAAGCAAUACCGCGUGGGUGAAGAAGGCCUUGGGGUUGUAAAGCACGUUUGUUGGGAAAGAAAAGCAGCAGGUUAAUACCCCGCUGUUCUGACGGUACCCAAAGAAUAAGCACCGGAUAACUGCGUG